rnacentral:piRNA from 1 species
UUCUGUUUUUCUGUCACGACA